GUUUCAAUUUUUAUUGAUGAUCCAUGACUAAGAUAGUCAUGUCGUUCACAGCUAAGACGCAAAUGAAAUGUCAUGUCAACAUUUAGUUUGCUUCUUGUAUUGUUAACUUGUGUUAUUGGCUUUGGUUUGCUCAAAUGUCUACGGUGGUGACAAUCAUGGGUGGUGGCCUUGUUACUAUUAUUCAGUGUUGCUAUUACUCAGUAUGAGCUGCCCUUUCUGUGCAGGUGUUUUUAUAUGCAGGGGUAUCUCUUCCUCCGUUUUGCUCGGAUAACGGGUUUCCCUCCCUCUGGGUGGGGUUGUGAAUAACGGUAAUAUGAUUUUGCAGCAGAUGAACCUUCUUGAUGAGGGCAUGUUUUGAUUUGCCGACUAUUGCAAUUGAAUUAGGCUAUUGCAUGCAAUGUGGGUUGUGUUUCUGUUUUUAUGGUUUACAUGUGACGUGAAGGAGUUCGGAUAUUGAGUUCAAUUUGUCUAGUCUCGAGAAAGGAGGAACAUAGCUUCCGCUGGUGGUAGCUCGUUGGUUAAGCCGACAAAGAUCAAUGGCCAUCUUGGAAGGCUCGAGUAAGAUGUCGAAAAGUGAUACUACCACGACCCUUUGCUUAUGCAGGGUUGAUUUGCGCUUCUCUCCUCAUGGUUCUACCGUGCUUCAUUAUCUAACCUUGGGCCCUUCUUCAACUCUACUCUAGCUUUCUGGUUUGCUGUAGUUGCAAGCCCCUUAACAUAAUGGUUGGCUUUGCUCGUGCGUACUUUGAUUUUUGUCUUCUCCAUAAGCUAUGUUAGACGGUAGACGACGUGGUCCUCUUAUUUUGGUCUAUCUUCCUUCUGGUGCGCCAGAUUAAGAUUUCAUCUGAGCUUUGGGCUAAAUUUGCUUUUAGUUUGGUAUAGGUUGAGUUGUUUGUUAAGGCUCUUUUCUCCAGACUAUGGCUUGUAUUAACAGCUUUGAAUCUUAUGUGAAUCCUCUAGUCUAUAUUGAACCUCAA